CGACCUACGCCAGCUAUGGACCUAGAAGAGUAGCGCGAGGGCUUGGGAAGCCAGAUCUCUGUGGGAGAAGGUUCCGGCCCAUCGGACCUGGUCUCGCGCUUCCUUUCUCUCUUCUUCUUCUCUUGCUUCUCCCAGCGGACAAGCAGCGAGAGGGAGAGAGAUAAAGGCGAGCGAGGGAGGAGAUGGGGGCCGAGGAGAAAGGCUGGAAUCCGGUGGCGGCCAUGACGGAAGAGAGAGAAGUGGGAGGUGGAGCUCCGGAGGUGCGGUGGAAGGAGAAGCAGAAUGACGGCGUUCCGGCGAUCCCAUCGUCUACAAAGGAGAUCGAUAUCUCCCUCCCACUCCCCGAAAUGAAGCCUCGGAUCAUAGAUCUAUGCAAGGAUUUUUUUAGGAAAUGGUCUUCUCUUGACAACUCAUGUUUCUCCAUUGAGACAGUUUCUGGUGGUAUCACAAAUCUCUUGCUCAAGGUCUCUGUGACAGAAGAAAGUGGCAGUUCUGUUUCUCUGACUGUUCGAUUGUAUGGUCCAAAUACGGACUUAGUGAUUGACCGCAAGAGAGAACUUCAGGCCCUACCAUAUCUCUCAGCAGCUGGAUUUGGUGCUGAAUUGCUAGGAAUUUUUAAAAAUGGCAUGGUUCAGUCAUUCAUCAGUGCUCGUACACUUUCACCAUCAGACAUGCGUAACCCUAAAAUAGCUGCUGAAAUCGCUAAGCAACUUCAUAAAUUCCAUCAGGUGGAGAUACCAAGUCCUCAAGAACCACAACUGUGGAAUGAUAUGUUCAAGUUCUUAGAAAAAGCUGCGGUAUUAACAUUUGAUGACAGUGAGACGCAGGCCAAGUAUGAAAAAAUUUCAUUUAAAGAAAUCCGUGAUGAAAUUUAUGUGCUCAAGAAGAGAGACUCUACUUCAUUGAUUUCGAGUAUGGGUCUUACAGCUACAGAGGCUACGACAUUGCAAAUCACUUCAAUGAAUAUGCAGGCUUUGACUGUGACUACAGCUUGUACCCAGAUAAGAAUGCACAAUACCAUUUUUUCAGGAGUUACUUGCAACCUAAUAAACCACAUGAGCAUAUGCGUUGCUAAUCAUCCAACGUCCACAACAUGGUCAGCCUCUAUAUUUUUUCCGAAGCUUUCAGAAGCAUGUCAAGCUCUACUUCCACCAGACUGCCCAAAUGAAGCUAUUUAUAGUCAUUGCACCCGAUUUACAGCAUGUAUAUCUGUUUGCUUGCCUUGUACUUCAUCUCUGUUACUAAGAUAGCUUAUUGUUGCAAACAGGUACAUGACAAGGAUCUUGAAGCCCUUUAUGUUGAAACAAAUACCUUUAGGUUAGCAUCACACAUCUACUGGGCUCUAUGGGCUCUCAUCCAGGCGAAGGUGUCUCCAAUUGAUUUUGACUACCUCUCGUACUUCUUCCUUCGCUGCAAUGAAUACAAGAAACAGAAGGAAGGUUGCCUCUCCAUGGCACAAAAAUACCUCUCUGGAUCAGGCACUGGUUGAAGCAUCAGCUCCCGUCCAUUUCAUGGUUGUUGCAUUGUUUCGCCAAUGACAGAGAGCUCCCAGCUUCUUUGUUGUACUGUACAAUAUAUUUCUUUUUUUCUUUUGCAGCUGAAACGGUGCAAGUUCAACAAGCCUAUCAUUGCUACAGAUUCCUUUUAAAUUCUUCUUGUAUCCUGAAAUAUAAUGUGUCACGUCUGUGAUAGGAUCACCUAUAUUUUUGUAGCAAUUAACAUUGGAGUUCAUUUCAACAAUUACAUUUCUUUCAGUGAUUAUUCUUGGUAAAAA